UACGAAGGGGGCUAGCGUUGCUCGGAAUCACUGGGCGUAAAGGGCGCGUAGGCGGACUCUUAAGUCGGGGGUGAAAGCCCAGGGCUCAACCCUGGAAUUGCCUUCGAUACUGAGAGUCUUGAGUUCGGAAGAGGUUGGUGGAACUGCGAGUGUAGAGGUGAAAUUCGUAGAUAUUCGCAAGAACACCAGUGGCGAAGGCGGCGAUCUGGGAAGAUACUGACGCUGAGGUGCGAAAGCGUGGGGAGCAACAGG
rnacentral:rRNA from 1 species